rnacentral:rRNA from 1 species
UACGGGGGGGGCAAGCGUUGUUCGGAAUUACUGGGCGUAAAGGGCGCGUAGGCGGCUCGCUAAGUCGGAUGUGAAAACUCUGGGCUCAACCCAGAGCCUGCAUUCGAAACUGACGAGCUCGAGUUCUGGAGGGGAAAGCGGAAUUCCUGGUGUAGCGGUGAAAUGCGCAGAUAUCAGGAGGAACACCGGUGGCGAAGGCGGCUUUCUGGACAGAAACUGACGCUGAUGCGCGAAAGCUAGGGGAGCAAACAGG